rnacentral:siRNA from 1 species
AUCACCCGUGGAUAAAACUGUCAA